GCCCCCGUAGCCCAACCGGCAGAGGCGCACGGCUCAAAAUCGUGACAGUGUGGGUUCGAAUCCCACCGGGGGUA
rnacentral:tRNA from 1 species